GAUGAACGCUGGCGGCGUGCCUAAUACAUGCAAGUCGAGCGAAGGAACGUGAAGCUUGCGCCAAUUUGAAUAGCGGCGGACGGGUGAGUAACACGUGGAUAAUCUGCCUUUGAGACGGGGACAACAUUUGGAAACGACUGCUAAUACCGCAUAAUAACUUUAAACGUAUGAUUUAAGAUUGAAAGAUGCAAUUGCUUCACUAAAUAGUUGUCCCGCGUUGUCUUAGUUAGUUUGUUAGGUAAACGCUAACCCAAGCAAACAUACAGAGUCGACCCGAGAGGGGGAGCGGGCAAAGUGGGACUGAGACACGGGUCAAACUCCUACGGGAGGCAGCAGUAGGGAAACGUCGGCAAUGGACGGAAGUCCGACCGAGCAACGCCGCGGUAGUGAAGAAAGUUUUCGGAUUGGAAAACUCGUUUGGUAGAGAAGAACGUUGGUGAGAGUGGAAAGCUCAUCAAGUGACGGUAACUACCCAGAAAGGGACGGCUAACUACGUG
rnacentral:rRNA from 1 species